rnacentral:rRNA from 1 species
UACGUAGGGGGCAAGCGUUGUCCGGAAUCAUUGGGCGUAAAGCGCGUGUAGGCGGUUCGGUAAGUCUGCUGUGAAAGUCCAGGGCUCAACCCUGGGAUGCCGGUGGAUACUGUCGGACUAGAGUACGGAAGAGGCGAGUGGAAUUCCCGGUGUAGCGGUGAAAUGCGCAGAUAUCGAGAGGAACACCAAUUGCGAAGGCAGCUCGCUGGGACGUCACUGACGCUGAGACGCGAAAGCGUGGGGAGCAAACAGG